GAGCGAACAGGAUUAGAUACCCUGGUAGUCCACGCCGUAAACGAUGAGUGCUAGGUGUUGGGUCCUUUCCGGGAUUCAGUGCCGCAGCUAACGCAUUAAGCACUCCGCCUGGGGAGUACGACCGCAAGGUUGAAACUCAAAGGAAUUGACGGGGGCCCGCACAAGCGGUGGAGCAUGUGGUUUAAUUCGAAGCAACGCGAAGAACCUUACCAGGUCUUGACAUCCCGAUGCUAUUUCUAGAGAUAGGAAGUUACUUCGGUACAUCGGUGACAGGUGGUGCAUGGUUGUCGUCAGCUCGUGUCGUGAGAUGUUGGNUUNNNNNNCGCAACGAGCGCAACCCCUAUUGUUAGUUGCCAUCAUUCAGUUGGGCACUCUAGCGAGACUGCCGGUAAUAAACCGGAGGAAGGUGGGGAUGACGUCAAAUCAUCAUGCCCCUUAUGACCUGGGCUACACACGUGCUACAAUGGUUGGUACAACGAGUUGCGAGUCGGUGACGGCGAGCUAAUCUCUUAAAGCCAAUCUCAGUUCGGAUUGUAGGCUGCAACUCGCCUACAUGAAGUCGGAAUCGCUAGUAAUCGCGGAUCAGCACGCCGCGGUGAAUACGUUCCCGGGCCU
rnacentral:rRNA from 1 species